AAUGAACGCUGGCGGCAGGCCUAACACAUGCAAGUCGAACGGAUCCUUCGGGAUUAGUGGCGGACGGGUGAGUAACGCGUGGGAACAUACCCCUUGGUACGGAAUAGCCUCGGGAAACUGGGAGUAAUACCGUAUGUGGUCGAGAGACGAAAGAUUUAUCGCCAAAGGAUUGGCCCGCGUUGGAUUAGGUAGUUGGUGGGGUAAUGGCCUACCAAGCCAACGAUCCAUAGCUGGUUUGAGAGGAUGAUCAGCCACACUGGGACUGAGACACGGCCCAGACUCCUACGGGAGGCAGCAGUGGGGAAUAUUGGACAAUGGGCGAAAGCCUGAUCCAGCAAUGCCGCGCGAGUGAUGAAGGCCUUAGGGUUGUAAAGCUCUUUUACCAGGGAUGAUAAUGACAGUACCUGGGGAAUAAGCUCCGGCUAACUCCGUGCCAGCCGCCGCAGUAA
rnacentral:rRNA from 1 species